rfam:Oryzias latipes DNA, chromosome8, strain: Hd-rR.
ACAGUGGCUCUUUUCAGAGCCACUCACUGUACUGAGGGAAUUUGU